rnacentral:rRNA from 1 species
AUUGAACGCUGGCGGCAGGCCUAACACAUGCAAGUCGAGCGAGCGGCGGACGGGUGAGUAAUGUCUGGGAAACUGCCUGAUGGCGGGGGAUAACUACUGGAAACGGUAGCUAAUACCGCAUACCAUCAGAUGUGCCCAGAUGGGAUUGGCUAGUAGGUGGGGGAAUGGCUCACCUAGGCGACGAUCCCGAGCUGGUCUGCGAGGAUGACCAGCCAGUCUGGAACGGAGACACGGUCCAGACUCCUACGGGAGGCAGCAGUGGAGAAUAGUGCACAAUGGGAGCAAGCCUGAUGCAGACAUGCCGCGUGUGUGAAGAAGGCCUUCGGUUUGUAAAGCACUUUCAGCGGGGAGGCGUUACCCGCAGAAGAAGCACCGGCUAACUCCGUGCCAGCCGCCGCGGUAAUAC